UACUCACUGACUUAUCUGUAGAGGCCCUCCCC
rnacentral:piRNA from 1 species